AGCAGAUGAUGGCUUUUUCUCAUGAUGGUCUGCGGAUGCCACUGUGAGCAGUGCCGAUGAGGCCCAUGGCUCAGCUGCCGCCCAGAG